rnacentral:tRNA from 1 species
GCGGAUGUAGUUAAAUGGUUAUAAUAUAACCUUGCCAAGGUUAAGUUCUGAGUUCGAUUCUCAGUAUCCGCACCA